rnacentral:rRNA from 1 species
UACAGAGGUCUCGAGCGUUAGGCGGAAUCACUGGGCUUAAAGCGUGUGUAGGCGGACUGGUAAGUACCUUGUGAAAUCCCACGGCUCAACCGUGGAACUGCUGGGUAUACUGCUUGUCUUGUGCAACCUAGGGGCGAGCGGAACAGAUGGUGGAGCGGUGAAAUGCGUAGAUAUCAUCUGGAACGCCAAUGGUGAAAACAGCUCGCUGGGGGUUUGCAGACGCUGAGGAGCGAAAGUAUGGGGAGCGAACAGG